rnacentral:tRNA from 1 species
GGUGGCUCAGUGGUAGAGCACUUGCCUUGCAUGCAUGAGACGCCCUGUGUUCGAUUCCUCAGCACCA